UUACAGAGAGAAAGCCACAUUAAACAGCUCCACUCUCCUUUCCUCUCGGCACACACACAGCAGGCUGUUGGAUCAUCUCCCCCCCUCACACAUACCUCAAAAGUGUUUUUGUGGCUUUCCAGACGGCACCGUCUGACAGGCUGAAGCAUGAUGGCAUGACGUGUCCUACAUCUUGUACAGUCAAGGCGGAGUUCUUGUCCUCGGUGUUGACCCGGAUGACCCCGUAACUCAGGCCGCCCAUGGAGAGGAUGGCUCGUGCGGGGAGAGGUGCAC